rnacentral:rRNA from 1 species
AGAGUUUGAUCAUGGCUCAGGAUGAACGCUGGCGGCGUGCCUAAUACAUGCAAGUCGAGCGAACAGACGAGGAGCUUGCUCCUUUGACGUUAGCGGCGGACGGGUGAGUAACACGUGGGUAACCUACCUAUAAGACUGGGAUAACUUCGGGAAACCGGAGCUAAUACCGGAUAAUAUUUCGAACUGCAUGGUUCGAUAGUGAAAGAUGGCUUUGCUAUCACUUAUAGAUGGACCUGCGCCGUAUUAGCUAGUUGGUAAGGUAACGGCUUACCAAGGCAACGAUACGUAGCCGACCUGAGAGGGUGAUCGGCCACACUGGAACUGAGACACGGCCCAGACUCCUACGGGAGGCAGCAGUAGGGAAUCUUCCGCAAUGGGCGAAAGCCUGACGGAGCAACGCCGCGUGAGUGAUGAAGGUCUUCGGAUCGUAAAACUCUGUUAUUAGGGAAGAACAAACGUGUAAGUAACUGUGCACGUCUUGACGGUACCUAAUCAGAAAGCCACGGCUAACUACGUG